rnacentral:ncRNA from 1 species
UUUUAUAAGAAUAUGAUGUUGGUUCAGAUUAAGCGCUAAAUAAGGACAUGACACAUGCGAAUCAUACGUUUAUUAUUGAUAAGAUAAUAAAUAUGUGGUGUAAACGUGAGUAAUUUUAUUAGGAAUUAAUGAACUAUAGAAUAAGCUAAAUACUUAAUAUAUUAUUAUAUAAAAAUAAUUUAUAUAAUAAAAAGGAUAUAUAUAUAAUAUAUAUUUAUCUAUAGUCAAGCCAAUAAUGGUUUAGGUAGUAGGUUUAUUAAGAGUUAAACCUAGCCAACGAUCCAUAAUCGAUAAUGAAAGUUAGAACGAUCACGUUGACUCUGAAAUAUAGUCAAUAUCUAUAAGAUACAGCAGUGAGGAAUAUUGGACAAUGAUCGAAAGAUUGAUCCAGUUACUUAUUAGGAUGAUAUAUAAAAAUAUUUUUAUUUUAUUUAGUUCCGGGGCCCGGCCACGGGAGCCGGAACCCCGAAAGGAGAAAUAUUAAAUAUUUAUAAUAAUAAUAAUAAUAAUAUAUAUAUAUAAAUUGAUUAAAAAUAAAAUCCAUAAAUAAUUAAAAUAAUGAUAUUAAUUACCAUAUAUAUUUUUAUAUGGAUAUAUAUAUUAAUAAUAAUAUUAAUUUUAUUAUUAUUAAUAAUAUAUUUUAAUAGUCCUGACUAAUAUUUGUGCCAGCAGUCGCGGUAACACAAAGAGGGCGAGCGUUAAUCAUAAUGGUUUAAAGGAUCCGUAGAAUGAAUUAUAUAUUAUAAUUUAGAGUUAAUAAAAUUAAUUAAAGAAUUAUAAUAGUAAAGAUGAAAUAAUAAUAAUAAUUAUAAGACUAAUAUAUGUGAAAAUAUUAAUUAAAUAUUAACUGACAUUGAGGGAUUAAAACUAGAGUAGCGAAACGGAUUCGAUACCCGUGUAGUUCUAGUAGUAAACUAUGAAUACAAUUAUUUAUAAUAUAUAUUAUAUAUAAAUAAUAAAUGAAAAUGAAAGUAUUCCACCUGAAGAGUACGUUAGCAAUAAUGAAACUCAAAACAAUAGACGGUUACAGACUUAAGCAGUGGAGCAUGUUAUUUAAUUCGAUAAUCCACGACUAACCUUACCAUAUUUUGAAUAUUAUAAUAAUUAUUAUAAUUAUUAUAUUACAGGCGUUACAUUGUUGUCUUUAGUUCGUGCUGCAAAGUUUUAGAUUAAGUUCAUAAACGAACAAAACUCCAUAUAUAUAAUUUUAAUUAUAUAUAAUUUUAUAUUAUUUAUUAAUAUAAAGAAAGGAAUUAAGACAAAUCAUAAUGAUCCUUAUAAUAUGGGUAAUAGACGUGCUAUAAUAAAAUGAUAAUAAAAUUAUAUAAAAUAUAUUUAAUUAUAUUUAAUUAAUAAUAUAAAACAUUUUAAUUUUUAAUAUAUUUUUUUAUUAUAUAUUAAUAUGAAUUAUAAUCUGAAAUUCGAUUAUAUGAAAAAAGAAUUGCUAGUAAUACGUAAAUUAGUAUGUUACGGUGAAUAUUCUAACUGUUUCGCACUAAUCACUCAUCACGCGUUGAAACAUAUUAUUAUCUUAUUAUUUAUAUAAUAUUUUUUAAUAAAUAUUAAUAAUUAUUAAUUUAUAUUUAUUUAUAUCAGAAAUAAUAUGAAUUAAUGCGAAGUUGAAAUACAGUUACCGUAGGGGAACCUGCGGUGGGCUUAUAAAUAUC